CCCUUGCUCCUUCCUCAGGCUAGAUGGGGUGGAGGUGUCGUGGCCACUCCGCAGUAGCCCCACGGCCGUACCGCGGCAGCCCCAUAGCCGCUAGGAAUGGCCGCCAGUCAUGCUUAACCGCCGCAGGAAUCGUAGCGGCGAACAAGCCACUAUCCCAUUCAGAAACCGUUAUAAAUCCACCUUUUUUCUGCCACCAAGCCAUCAUCUUCGAGCCUCCCCUCCCCCCUUCUCCUUCUUCUCCAGUGGUCGGCGUGCCACCCCAGCAGAGCGCCGCCGCCCAAAGCUCCCACUUCUCCCUCUAUGUCAUCCGAGUGCCCUAUUUUUUUUGAUUUCUCCUCGUUGCCGGAAGUGCCGCCACCGCCGCCGCUUGACCGCCGGACCGAGCCACCCUCGACCAAGAACCCUCCUCUCCACCACUCACCGGUGCAUCUGAUCCGUUUUUCUGAAGUACGAUUUAAAGCAAAACGAGAUCCAGAUGCAUGAUCGCACGGGAUUGGGAAGUGCACUAGAUUUCUAAAGAUUUCUUUCAGUUAUUGGCAUUUUAAAUAGACUAGUUAUAAUAAUUGAUUUAUCUUGUCAUACAUUAUUUUGAAAC